GUCAGACUUCAGAGAUAUUAGUCCUAGUGUCAGUAACAUUGUCAAUGUUACUAUGCCUGAGUAGACUGUGCUAAACAAAGGGGGACAUUUUUGUUUUUGUCCUUGCCUACAAUUUGUCUUAGAUUAGACAGUGGGUCACAACAUGAUGGCAACGAUUCCACGCACUGAGAUGCUCCUGCAUUCAUUCAGCAACGCCUUCACUGCAGCUGCAGCCAAGAAUAUGGGAAUUCUGUCAAGUACAUUGAUUCUGCAAGGAUUUAGUGAGGAAAUGAGAAGGCAGAUUCUUCUUUUAACUCAGUUCCACAUUGUUAUUAUUACUAUUAUUAUUAUUAUUAUUAUUAUUGUUAUUGUUGUUGUUGUUAUUUUAUUUAUUUAAUGUUGUACCUCUUGAAUGGGAAUCUGGCUACAGAUACAUUUUUAAAUUUUUUUUUGGUAUGUAUUUAUACAUUUAGCAUGUGUAUCAUCAGAUUCUGUGAACAGUGUAAAAUCAAUUAAAACAACUCAAGUGACUAAUUUUGCCUCCACACUGAGAGAUAAUGCAAGAUUAAUGGGUCUCUGAGCUUCCACAGGUCAUCCUGGGAAGGCUGCAAGCCUGCAGUGCCACUGGGAGCCCAGUAGAUGGUAGCAGAGGUGCGUAGUGUCCUCACUCUGUUUACAUUGUGGGUCAGGUCCGGUGGAAAGAUGGCGUCCAUGUAAACAAAGGCAGCUCACGGCGAUGCAGUGCAGCAGCUCCAAAUGACCACGAAGAGGGUGGGGGCGGCUCUCUAGCGGGGAUAGCUUAGCUUUCAUCCCCCUUUCUCCCACCACCUACACUGAGAGGGUUAGCUGGGCAUCCCAAGGCUUUCUUGGUCAGUUUGUCAGCAGUGCCAGUUGCCCUCCCGAGGACCACCUGGGUCUGCUCAGCAGGCAGCGGGGUUUAAUUAGUCUGCUGCUGAAGCUGCUCUUAAGCAUGGCCAGAGUUUUGUGGAGCCGCUGAGAGACAAUGUCCAUGAUGGCCAGCAGUUUCACCAGCAUCCUGUCCUCCACCACCUCCACCAGGGUGACAGGCUUAGAGCUAACAACAGACUCUGCCUUCUGGACAAGUUCAUCCAGUCUGUUUGCGUCCUUCCUCAGAGCCGCCUCACGCAUGUUUGAGCAUGUACACAUGUAAACACAUGUACACACAUGUACACAAGCACACACACAUACAGCCAAAAACGUAUGCUUAAGCACACACUCUCAUGCAUUCCAACACAAACACACACAGUACAUUUCCCAACAUUUGAACUAUAUUCAGCUAUUAUCUUUUCAUGCAUUCAAAUGUGGAGACUGUGCAAUAGUCUAAUUGACGUGUUAAGUUGACUGUGUUAACGGUGUAAUAAGUUUCAUUGUGUAAUUGGUCAAAUUUCAUUAAUAUUGUGUCAAGUUUCAGUUUGUCCCAUGUGAAGACAGUGCCAAUGUGGAGGCUUUUUAUUGACACAGGACAUGACGAUUAUUGAUAUUUAUUCUUAGAUAAUGUAUCAUCAUUUGUUGUGACAGAGAAGAAAAUAAAGCCUGUCUUCCAAUUCAGUGCAUGUGUGGCCUAAUGGUUAUUUUUGUGUCAGAAAUAUGAGCAUGAAAAAGUGCACAAAUGAAGAUGCCCUUACUCGCGCUAGCUUUGAAAGAAAUGGUAUUGGUGCACCCCUAGCCUAAAGCCUGAAUCAAGAAUGGCUCCACAACUAUAAAGGUCAAUAUGCAUGGUCUUGGUUUCUAUGGUGGGGUCAGACUUCAGAGAUAUUAGUCCUAGUGUCAGUAACAUUGUCAAUGUUACUAUGCCUGAGUAGACUGUGCUAAACAAAGGGGGACAUUUUUGUUUUUGUCCUUGCCUACAAUUUGUCUUAGAUUAGACAGUGGGUCACAACAUGAUGGCAACGAUUCCACGCACUGAGAUGCUCCUGCAUUCAUUCAGCAACGCCUUCACUGCAGCUGCAGCCAAGAAUAUGGGAAUUCUGUCAAGUACAUUGAUUCUGCAAGGAUUUAGUGAGGAAAUGAGAAGGCAGAUUCUUCUUUUAACUCAGUUCCACAUUGUUAUUAUUACUAUUAUUAUUAUUAUUAUUAUUAUUAUUAUUGUUAUUGUUGUUGUUGUUAUUUUAUUUAUUUAAUGUUGUACCUCUUGAAUGGGAAUCUGGCUACAGAUACAUUUUUAAAUUUUUUUUUGGUAUGUAUUUAUACAUUUAGCAUGUGUAUCAUCAGAUUCUGUGAACAGUGUAAAAUCAAUUAAAACAACUCAAGUGACUAAUUUUGCCUCCACACUGAGAGAUAAUGCAAGAUUAAUGGGUCUCUGAGCUUCCACAGGUCAUCCUGGGAAGGCUGCAAGCCUGCAGUGCCACUGGGAGCCCAGUAGAUGGUAGCAGAGGUGCGUAGUGUCCUCACUCUGUUUACAUUGUGGGUCAGGUCCGGUGGAAAGAUGGCGUCCAUGUAAACAAAGGCAGCUCACGGCGAUGCAGUGCAGCAGCUCCAAAUGACCACGAAGAGGCAGCGGGGUUUAAUUAGUCUGCUGCUGAAGCUGCUCUUAAGCAUGGCCAGAGUUUUGUGGAGCCGCUGAGAGACAAUGUCCAUGAUGGCCAGCAGUUUCACCAGCAUCCUGUCCUCCACCACCUCCACCAGGGUGACAGGCUUAGAGCUAACAACAGACUCUGCCUUCUGGACAAGUUCAUCCAGUCUGUUUGCGUCCUUCCUCAGAGCCGCCUCACGCAUGUUUGAGCAUGUACACAUGUAAACACAUGUACACACAUGUACACAAGCACACACACAUACAGCCAAAAACGUAUGCUUAAGCACACACUCUCAUGCAUUCCAACACAAACACACACAGUACAUUUCCCAACAUUUGAACUAUAUUCAGCUAUUAUCUUUUCAUGCAUUCAAAUGUGGAGACUGUGCAAUAGUCUAAUUGACGUGUUAAGUUGACUGUGUUAACGGUGUAAUAAGUUUCAUUGUGUAAUUGGUCAAAUUUCAUUAAUAUUGUGUCAAGUUUCAGUUUGUCCCAUGUGAAGACAGUGCCAAUGUGGAGGCUUUUUAUUGACACAGGACAUGACGAUUAUUGAUAUUUAUUCUUAGAUAAUGUAUCAUCAUUUGUUGUGACAGAGAAGAAAAUAAAGCCUGUCUUCCAAUUCAGUGCAUGUGUGGCCUAAUGGUUAUUUUUGUGUCAGAAAUAUGAGCAUGAAAAAGUGCACAAAUGAAGAUGCCCUUACUCGCGCUAGCUUUGAAAGAAAUGGUAUUGGUGCACCCCUAGCCUAAAGCCUGAAUCAAGAAUGGCUCCACAACUAUAAAGGUCAAUAUGCAUGGUCUUGGUUUCUAUGGUGGGGUCAGACUUCAGAGAUAUUAGUCCUAGUGUCAGUAACAUUGUCAAUGUUACUAUGCCUGAGUAGACUGUGCUAAACAAAGGGGGACAUUUUUGUUUUUGUCCUUGCCUACAAUUUGUCUUAGAUUAGACAGUGGGUCACAACAUGAUGGCAACGAUUCCACGCACUGAGAUGCUCCUGCAUUCAUUCAGCAACGCCUUCACUGCAGCUGCAGCCAAGAAUAUGGGAAUUCUGUCAAGUACAUUGAUUCUGCAAGGAUUUAGUGAGGAAAUGAGAAGGCAGAUUCUUCUUUUAACUCAGUUCCACAUUGUUAUUAUUACUAUUAUUAUUAUUAUUAUUAUUAUUAUUAUUGUUAUUGUUGUUGUUGUUAUUUUAUUUAUUUAAUGUUGUACCUCUUGAAUGGGAAUCUGGCUACAGAUACAUUUUUAAAUUUUUUUUUGGUAUGUAUUUAUACAUUUAGCAUGUGUAUCAUCAGAUUCUGUGAACAGUGUAAAAUCAAUUAAAACAACUCAAGUGACUAAUUUUGCCUCCACACUGAGAGAUAAUGCAAGAUUAAUGGGUCUCUGAGCUUCCACAGGUCAUCCUGGGAAGGCUGCAAGCCUGCAGUGCCACUGGGAGCCCAGUAGAUGGUAGCAGAGGUGCGUAGUGUCCUCACUCUGUUUACAUUGUGGGUCAGGUCCGGUGGAAAGAUGGCGUCCAUGUAAACAAAGGCAGCUCACGGCGAUGCAGUGCAGCAGCUCCAAAUGACCACGAAGAGGCAGCGGGGUUUAAUUAGUCUGCUGCUGAAGCUGCUCUUAAGCAUGGCCAGAGUUUUGUGGAGCCGCUGAGAGACAAUGUCCAUGAUGGCCAGCAGUUUCACCAGCAUCCUGUCCUCCACCACCUCCACCAGGGUGACAGGCUUAGAGCUAACAACAGACUCUGCCUUCUGGACAAGUUCAUCCAGUCUGUUUGCGUCCUUCCUCAGAGCCGCCUCACGCAUGUUUGAGCAUGUACACAUGUAAACACAUGUACACACAUGUACACAAGCACACACACAUACAGCCAAAAACGUAUGCUUAAGCACACACUCUCAUGCAUUCCAACACAAACACACACAGUACAUUUCCCAACAUUUGAACUAUAUUCAGCUAUUAUCUUUUCAUGCAUUCAAAUGUGGAGACUGUGCAAUAGUCUAAUUGACGUGUUAAGUUGACUGUGUUAACGGUGUAAUAAGUUUCAUUGUGUAAUUGGUCAAAUUUCAUUAAUAUUGUGUCAAGUUUCAGUUUGUCCCAUGUGAAGACAGUGCCAAUGUGGAGGCUUUUUAUUGACACAGGACAUGACGAUUAUUGAUAUUUAUUCUUAGAUAAUGUAUCAUCAUUUGUUGUGACAGAGAAGAAAAUAAAGCCUGUCUUCCAAUUCAGUGCAUGUGUGGCCUAAUGGUUAUUUUUGUGUCAGAAAUAUGAGCAUGAAAAAGUGCACAAAUGAAGAUGCCCUUACUCGCGCUAGCUUUGAAAGAAAUGGUAUUGGUGCACCCCUAGCCUAAAGCCUGAAUCAAGAAUGGCUCCACAACUAUAAAGGUCAAUAUGCAUGGUCUUGGUUUCUAUGGUGGGGUCAGACUUCAGAGAUAUUAGUCCUAGUGUCAGUAACAUUGUCAAUGUUACUAUGCCUGAGUAGACUGUGCUAAACAAAGGGGGACAUUUUUGUUUUUGUCCUUGCCUACAAUUUGUCUUAGAUUAGACAGUGGGUCACAACAUGAUGGCAACGAUUCCACGCACUGAGAUGCUCCUGCAUUCAUUCAGCAACGCCUUCACUGCAGCUGCAGCCAAGAAUAUGGGAAUUCUGUCAAGUACAUUGAUUCUGCAAGGAUUUAGUGAGGAAAUGAGAAGGCAGAUUCUUCUUUUAACUCAGUUCCACAUUGUUAUUAUUACUAUUAUUAUUAUUAUUAUUAUUAUUAUUAUUGUUAUUGUUGUUGUUGUUAUUUUAUUUAUUUAAUGUUGUACCUCUUGAAUGGGAAUCUGGCUACAGAUACAUUUUUAAAUUUUUUUUUGGUAUGUAUUUAUACAUUUAGCAUGUGUAUCAUCAGAUUCUGUGAACAGUGUAAAAUCAAUUAAAACAACUCAAGUGACUAAUUUUGCCUCCACACUGAGAGAUAAUGCAAGAUUAAUGGGUCUCUGAGCUUCCACAGGUCAUCCUGGGAAGGCUGCAAGCCUGCAGUGCCACUGGGAGCCCAGUAGAUGGUAGCAGAGGUGCGUAGUGUCCUCACUCUGUUUACAUUGUGGGUCAGGUCCGGUGGAAAGAUGGCGUCCAUGUAAACAAAGGCAGCUCACGGCGAUGCAGUGCAGCAGCUCCAAAUGACCACGAAGAGGCAGCGGGGUUUAAUUAGUCUGCUGCUGAAGCUGCUCUUAAGCAUGGCCAGAGUUUUGUGGAGCCGCUGAGAGACAAUGUCCAUGAUGGCCAGCAGUUUCACCAGCAUCCUGUCCUCCACCACCUCCACCAGGGUGACAGGCUUAGAGCUAACAACAGACUCUGCCUUCUGGACAAGUUCAUCCAGUCUGUUUGCGUCCUUCCUCAGAGCCGCCUCACGCAUGUUUGAGCAUGUACACAUGUAAACACAUGUACACACAUGUACACAAGCACACACACAUACAGCCAAAAACGUAUGCUUAAGCACACACUCUCAUGCAUUCCAACACAAACACACACAGUACAUUUCCCAACAUUUGAACUAUAUUCAGCUAUUAUCUUUUCAUGCAUUCAAAUGUGGAGACUGUGCAAUAGUCUAAUUGACGUGUUAAGUUGACUGUGUUAACGGUGUAAUAAGUUUCAUUGUGUAAUUGGUCAAAUUUCAUUAAUAUUGUGUCAAGUUUCAGUUUGUCCCAUGUGAAGACAGUGCCAAUGUGGAGGCUUUUUAUUGACACAGGACAUGACGAUUAUUGAUAUUUAUUCUUAGAUAAUGUAUCAUCAUUUGUUGUGACAGAGAAGAAAAUAAAGCCUGUCUUCCAAUUCAGUGCAUGUGUGGCCUAAUGGUUAUUUUUGUGUCAGAAAUAUGAGCAUGAAAAAGUGCACAAAUGAAGAUGCCCUUACUCGCGCUAGCUUUGAAAGAAAUGGUAUUGGUGCACCCCUAGCCUAAAGCCUGAAUCAAGAAUGGCUCCACAACUAUAAAGGUCAAUAUGCAUGGUCUUGGUUUCUAUGGUGGGGUCAGACUUCAGAGAUAUUAGUCCUAGUGUCAGUAACAUUGUCAAUGUUACUAUGCCUGAGUAGACUGUGCUAAACAAAGGGGGACAUUUUUGUUUUUGUCCUUGCCUACAAUUUGUCUUAGAUUAGACAGUGGGUCACAACAUGAUGGCAACGAUUCCACGCACUGAGAUGCUCCUGCAUUCAUUCAGCAACGCCUUCACUGCAGCUGCAGCCAAGAAUAUGGGAAUUCUGUCAAGUACAUUGAUUCUGCAAGGAUUUAGUGAGGAAAUGAGAAGGCAGAUUCUUCUUUUAACUCAGUUCCACAUUGUUAUUAUUACUAUUAUUAUUAUUAUUAUUAUUAUUAUUAUUGUUAUUGUUGUUGUUGUUAUUUUAUUUAUUUAAUGUUGUACCUCUUGAAUGGGAAUCUGGCUACAGAUACAUUUUUAAAUUUUUUUUUGGUAUGUAUUUAUACAUUUAGCAUGUGUAUCAUCAGAUUCUGUGAACAGUGUAAAAUCAAUUAAAACAACUCAAGUGACUAAUUUUGCCUCCACACUGAGAGAUAAUGCAAGAUUAAUGGGUCUCUGAGCUUCCACAGGUCAUCCUGGGAAGGCUGCAAGCCUGCAGUGCCACUGGGAGCCCAGUAGAUGGUAGCAGAGGUGCGUAGUGUCCUCACUCUGUUUACAUUGUGGGUCAGGUCCGGUGGAAAGAUGGCGUCCAUGUAAACAAAGGCAGCUCACGGCGAUGCAGUGCAGCAGCUCCAAAUGACCACGAAGAGGCAGCGGGGUUUAAUUAGUCUGCUGCUGAAGCUGCUCUUAAGCAUGGCCAGAGUUUUGUGGAGCCGCUGAGAGACAAUGUCCAUGAUGGCCAGCAGUUUCACCAGCAUCCUGUCCUCCACCACCUCCACCAGGGUGACAGGCUUAGAGCUAACAACAGACUCUGCCUUCUGGACAAGUUCAUCCAGUCUGUUUGCGUCCUUCCUCAGAGCCGCCUCACGCAUGUUUGAGCAUGUACACAUGUAAACACAUGUACACACAUGUACACAAGCACACACACAUACAGCCAAAAACGUAUGCUUAAGCACACACUCUCAUGCAUUCCAACACAAACACACACAGUACAUUUCCCAACAUUUGAACUAUAUUCAGCUAUUAUCUUUUCAUGCAUUCAAAUGUGGAGACUGUGCAAUAGUCUAAUUGACGUGUUAAGUUGACUGUGUUAACGGUGUAAUAAGUUUCAUUGUGUAAUUGGUCAAAUUUCAUUAAUAUUGUGUCAAGUUUCAGUUUGUCCCAUGUGAAGACAGUGCCAAUGUGGAGGCUUUUUAUUGACACAGGACAUGACGAUUAUUGAUAUUUAUUCUUAGAUAAUGUAUCAUCAUUUGUUGUGACAGAGAAGAAAAUAAAGCCUGUCUUCCAAUUCAGUGCAUGUGUGGCCUAAUGGUUAUUUUUGUGUCAGAAAUAUGAGCAUGAAAAAGUGCACAAAUGAAGAUGCCCUUACUCGCGCUAGCUUUGAAAGAAAUGGUAUUGGUGCACCCCUAGCCUAAAGCCUGAAUCAAGAAUGGCUCCACAACUAUAAAGGUCAAUAUGCAUGGUCUUGGUUUCUAUGGUGGGGUCAGACUUCAGAGAUAUUAGUCCUAGUGUCAGUAACAUUGUCAAUGUUACUAUGCCUGAGUAGACUGUGCUAAACAAAGGGGGACAUUUUUGUUUUUGUCCUUGCCUACAAUUUGUCUUAGAUUAGACAGUGGGUCACAACAUGAUGGCAACGAUUCCACGCACUGAGAUGCUCCUGCAUUCAUUCAGCAACGCCUUCACUGCAGCUGCAGCCAAGAAUAUGGGAAUUCUGUCAAGUACAUUGAUUCUGCAAGGAUUUAGUGAGGAAAUGAGAAGGCAGAUUCUUCUUUUAACUCAGUUCCACAUUGUUAUUAUUACUAUUAUUAUUAUUAUUAUUAUUAUUAUUAUUGUUAUUGUUGUUGUUGUUAUUUUAUUUAUUUAAUGUUGUACCUCUUGAAUGGGAAUCUGGCUACAGAUACAUUUUUAAAUUUUUUUUUGGUAUGUAUUUAUACAUUUAGCAUGUGUAUCAUCAGAUUCUGUGAACAGUGUAAAAUCAAUUAAAACAACUCAAGUGACUAAUUUUGCCUCCACACUGAGAGAUAAUGCAAGAUUAAUGGGUCUCUGAGCUUCCACAGGUCAUCCUGGGAAGGCUGCAAGCCUGCAGUGCCACUGGGAGCCCAGUAGAUGGUAGCAGAGGUGCGUAGUGUCCUCACUCUGUUUACAUUGUGGGUCAGGUCCGGUGGAAAGAUGGCGUCCAUGUAAACAAAGGCAGCUCACGGCGAUGCAGUGCAGCAGCUCCAAAUGACCACGAAGAGGCAGCGGGGUUUAAUUAGUCUGCUGCUGAAGCUGCUCUUAAGCAUGGCCAGAGUUUUGUGGAGCCGCUGAGAGACAAUGUCCAUGAUGGCCAGCAGUUUCACCAGCAUCCUGUCCUCCACCACCUCCACCAGGGUGACAGGCUUAGAGCUAACAACAGACUCUGCCUUCUGGACAAGUUCAUCCAGUCUGUUUGCGUCCUUCCUCAGAGCCGCCUCACGCAUGUUUGAGCAUGUACACAUGUAAACACAUGUACACACAUGUACACAAGCACACACACAUACAGCCAAAAACGUAUGCUUAAGCACACACUCUCAUGCAUUCCAACACAAACACACACAGUACAUUUCCCAACAUUUGAACUAUAUUCAGCUAUUAUCUUUUCAUGCAUUCAAAUGUGGAGACUGUGCAAUAGUCUAAUUGACGUGUUAAGUUGACUGUGUUAACGGUGUAAUAAGUUUCAUUGUGUAAUUGGUCAAAUUUCAUUAAUAUUGUGUCAAGUUUCAGUUUGUCCCAUGUGAAGACAGUGCCAAUGUGGAGGCUUUUUAUUGACACAGGACAUGACGAUUAUUGAUAUUUAUUCUUAGAUAAUGUAUCAUCAUUUGUUGUGACAGAGAAGAAAAUAAAGCCUGUCUUCCAAUUCAGUGCAUGUGUGGCCUAAUGGUUAUUUUUGUGUCAGAAAUAUGAGCAUGAAAAAGUGCACAAAUGAAGAUGCCCUUACUCGCGCUAGCUUUGAAAGAAAUGGUAUUGGUGCACCCCUAGCCUAAAGCCUGAAUCAAGAAUGGCUCCACAACUAUAAAGGUCAAUAUGCAUGGUCUUGGUUUCUAUGGUGGGGUCAGACUUCAGAGAUAUUAGUCCUAGUGUCAGUAACAUUGUCAAUGUUACUAUGCCUGAGUAGACUGUGCUAAACAAAGGGGGACAUUUUUGUUUUUGUCCUUGCCUACAAUUUGUCUUAGAUUAGACAGUGGGUCACAACAUGAUGGCAACGAUUCCACGCACUGAGAUGCUCCUGCAUUCAUUCAGCAACGCCUUCACUGCAGCUGCAGCCAAGAAUAUGGGAAUUCUGUCAAGUACAUUGAUUCUGCAAGGAUUUAGUGAGGAAAUGAGAAGGCAGAUUCUUCUUUUAACUCAGUUCCACAUUGUUAUUAUUACUAUUAUUAUUAUUAUUAUUAUUAUUAUUGUUAUUGUUGUUGUUGUUAUUUUAUUUAUUUAAUGUUGUACCUCUUGAAUGGGAAUCUGGCUACAGAUACAUUUUUAAAUUUUUUUUUGGUAUGUAUUUAUACAUUUAGCAUGUGUAUCAUCAGAUUCUGUGAACAGUGUAAAAUCAAUUAAAACAACUCAAGUGACUAAUUUUGCCUCCACACUGAGAGAUAAUGCAAGAUUAAUGGGUCUCUGAGCUUCCACAGGUCAUCCUGGGAAGGCUGCAAGCCUGCAGUGCCACUGGGAGCCCAGUAGAUGGUAGCAGAGGUGCGUAGUGUCCUCACUCUGUUUACAUUGUGGGUCAGGUCCGGUGGAAAGAUGGCGUCCAUGUAAACAAAGGCAGCUCACGGCGAUGCAGUGCAGCAGCUCCAAAUGACCACGAAGAGGCAGCGGGGUUUAAUUAGUCUGCUGCUGAAGCUGCUCUUAAGCAUGGCCAGAGUUUUGUGGAGCCGCUGAGAGACAAUGUCCAUGAUGGCCAGCAGUUUCACCAGCAUCCUGUCCUCCACCACCUCCACCAGGGUGACAGGCUUAGAGCUAACAACAGACUCUGCCUUCUGGACAAGUUCAUCCAGUCUGUUUGCGUCCUUCCUCAGAGCCGCCUCACGCAUGUUUGAGCAUGUACACAUGUAAACACAUGUACACACAUGUACACAAGCACACACACAUACAGCCAAAAACGUAUGCUUAAGCACACACUCUCAUGCAUUCCAACACAAACACACACAGUACAUUUCCCAACAUUUGAACUAUAUUCAGCUAUUAUCUUUUCAUGCAUUCAAAUGUGGAGACUGUGCAAUAGUCUAAUUGACGUGUUAAGUUGACUGUGUUAACGGUGUAAUAAGUUUCAUUGUGUAAUUGGUCAAAUUUCAUUAAUAUUGUGUCAAGUUUCAGUUUGUCCCAUGUGAAGACAGUGCCAAUGUGGAGGCUUUUUAUUGACACAGGACAUGACGAUUAUUGAUAUUUAUUCUUAGAUAAUGUAUCAUCAUUUGUUGUGACAGAGAAGAAAAUAAAGCCUGUCUUCCAAUUCAGUGCAUGUGUGGCCUAAUGGUUAUUUUUGUGUCAGAAAUAUGAGCAUGAAAAAGUGCACAAAUGAAGAUGCCCUUACUCGCGCUAGCUUUGAAAGAAAUGGUAUUGGUGCACCCCUAGCCUAAAGCCUGAAUCAAGAAUGGCUCCACAACUAUAAAGGUCAAUAUGCAUGGUCUUGGUUUCUAUGGUGGGGUCAGACUUCAGAGAUAUUAGUCCUAGUGUCAGUAACAUUGUCAAUGUUACUAUGCCUGAGUAGACUGUGCUAAACAAAGGGGGACAUUUUUGUUUUUGUCCUUGCCUACAAUUUGUCUUAGAUUAGACAGUGGGUCACAACAUGAUGGCAACGAUUCCACGCACUGAGAUGCUCCUGCAUUCAUUCAGCAACGCCUUCACUGCAGCUGCAGCCAAGAAUAUGGGAAUUCUGUCAAGUACAUUGAUUCUGCAAGGAUUUAGUGAGGAAAUGAGAAGGCAGAUUCUUCUUUUAACUCAGUUCCACAUUGUUAUUAUUACUAUUAUUAUUAUUAUUAUUAUUAUUAUUAUUGUUAUUGUUGUUGUUGUUAUUUUAUUUAUUUAAUGUUGUACCUCUUGAAUGGGAAUCUGGCUACAGAUACAUUUUUAAAUUUUUUUUUGGUAUGUAUUUAUACAUUUAGCAUGUGUAUCAUCAGAUUCUGUGAACAGUGUAAAAUCAAUUAAAACAACUCAAGUGACUAAUUUUGCCUCCACACUGAGAGAUAAUGCAAGAUUAAUGGGUCUCUGAGCUUCCACAGGUCAUCCUGGGAAGGCUGCAAGCCUGCAGUGCCACUGGGAGCCCAGUAGAUGGUAGCAGAGGUGCGUAGUGUCCUCACUCUGUUUACAUUGUGGGUCAGGUCCGGUGGAAAGAUGGCGUCCAUGUAAACAAAGGCAGCUCACGGCGAUGCAGUGCAGCAGCUCCAAAUGACCACGAAGAGGCAGCGGGGUUUAAUUAGUCUGCUGCUGAAGCUGCUCUUAAGCAUGGCCAGAGUUUUGUGGAGCCGCUGAGAGACAAUGUCCAUGAUGGCCAGCAGUUUCACCAGCAUCCUGUCCUCCACCACCUCCACCAGGGUGACAGGCUUAGAGCUAACAACAGACUCUGCCUUCUGGACAAGUUCAUCCAGUCUGUUUGCGUCCUUCCUCAGAGCCGCCUCACGCAUGUUUGAGCAUGUACACAUGUAAACACAUGUACACACAUGUACACAAGCACACACACAUACAGCCAAAAACGUAUGCUUAAGCACACACUCUCAUGCAUUCCAACACAAACACACACAGUACAUUUCCCAACAUUUGAACUAUAUUCAGCUAUUAUCUUUUCAUGCAUUCAAAUGCGGAGACUGUGCAAUAGUCUAAUUGACGUGUUAAGUUGACUGUGUUAACGGUGUAAUAAGUUUCAUUGUGUAAUUGGUCAAAUUUCAUUAAUAUUGUGUCAAGUUUCAGUUUGUCCCAUGUGAAGACAGUGCCAAUGUGGAGGCUUUUUAUUGACACAGGACAUGACGAUUAUUGAUAUUUAUUCUUAGAUAAUGUAUCAUCAUUUGUUGUGACAGAGAAGAAAAUAAAGCCUGUCUUCCAAUUCAGUGCAUGUGUGGCCUAAUGGUUAUUUUUGUGUCAGAAAUAUGAGCAUGAAAAAGUGCACAAAUGAAGAUGCCCUUACUCGCGCUAGCUUUGAAAGAAAUGGUAUUGGUGCACCCCUAGCCUAAAGCCUGAAUCAAGAAUGGCUCCACAACUAUAAAGGUCAAUAUGCAUGGUCUUGGUUUCUAUGGUGGGGUCAGACUUCAGAGAUAUUAGUCCUAGUGUCAGUAACAUUGUCAAUGUUACUAUGCCUGAGUAGACUGUGCUAAACAAAGGGGGACAUUUUUGUUUUUGUCCUUGCCUACAAUUUGUCUUAGAUUAGACAGUGGGUCACAACAUGAUGGCAACGAUUCCACGCACUGAGAUGCUCCUGCAUUCAUUCAGCAACGCCUUCACUGCAGCUGCAGCCAAGAAUAUGGGAAUUCUGUCAAGUACAUUGAUUCUGCAAGGAUUUAGUGAGGAAAUGAGAAGGCAGAUUCUUCUUUUAACUCAGUUCCACAUUGUUAUUAUUACUAUUAUUAUUAUUAUUAUUAUUAUUAUUGUUAUUGUUGUUGUUGUUAUUUUAUUUAUUUAAUGUUGUACCUCUUGAAUGGGAAUCUGGCUACAGAUACAUUUUUAAAUUUUUUUUUGGUAUGUAUUUAUACAUUUAGCAUGUGUAUCAUCAGAUUCUGUGAACAGUGUAAAAUCAAUUAAAACAACUCAAGUGACUAAUUUUGCCUCCACACUGAGAGAUAAUGCAAGAUUAAUGGGUCUCUGAGCUUCCACAGGUCAUCCUGGGAAGGCUGCAAGCCUGCAGUGCCACUGGGAGCCCAGUAGAUGGUAGCAGAGGUGCGUAGUGUCCUCACUCUGUUUACAUUGUGGGUCAGGUCCGGUGGAAAGAUGGCGUCCAUGUAAACAAAGGCAGCUCACGGCGAUGCAGUGCAGCAGCUCCAAAUGACCACGAAGAGGCAGCGGGGUUUAAUUAGUCUGCUGCUGAAGCUGCUCUUAAGCAUGGCCAGAGUUUUGUGGAGCCGCUGAGAGACAAUGUCCAUGAUGGCCAGCAGUUUCACCAGCAUCCUGUCCUCCACCACCUCCACCAGGGUGACAGGCUUAGAGCUAACAACAGACUCUGCCUUCUGGACAAGUUCAUCCAGUCUGUUUGCGUCCUUCCUCAGAGCCGCCUCACGCAUGUUUGAGCAUGUACACAUGUAAACACAUGUACACACAUGUACACAAGCACACACACAUACAGCCAAAAACGUAUGCUUAAGCACACACUCUCAUGCAUUCCAACACAAACACACACAGUACAUUUCCCAACAUUUGAACUAUAUUCAGCUAUUAUCUUUUCAUGCAUUCAAAUGCGGAGACUGUGCAAUAGUCUAAUUGACGUGUUAAGUUGACUGUGUUAACGGUGUAAUAAGUUUCAUUGUGUAAUUGGUCAAAUUUCAUUAAUAUUGUGUCAAGUUUCAGUUUGUCCCAUGUGAAGACAGUGCCAAUGUGGAGGCUUUUUAUUGACACAGGACAUGACGAUUAUUGAUAUUUAUUCUUAGAUAAUGUAUCAUCAUUUGUUGUGACAGAGAAGAAAAUAAAGCCUGUCUUCCAAUUCA